GACGAACGCUGGCGGCGUGCCUAAUACAUGCAAGUAGAACGCUGACGGAGGAGCUUGCUUCUCUGGAUGAGUUGCGAACGGGUGAGUAACGCGUAGGUAACCUGCCUGGUAGCGGGGGAUAACUAUUGGAAACGAUAGCUAAUACCGCAUAAUAUCAGUUGUUGCAUGACAACUGUUUGAAAUGUGCAAUUUCACCACUACCAGAUGGACCUGCGUUGUAUUAGCUAGUUGGUGGGGUAACGGCUCACCAAGGCGACGAUACAUAGCCGACCUGAGAGGGGGGUCGGCCACACUGGGACUGAGACACGGCCCAGACUCCUACGGGAGGCAGCAGUAGGGGAUCUUCGGCAAUGGACGGAAGUCUGACCGAGCAACGCCGCGGGAGUGAAGAAGGUUUUCGGAUCGUAAAGCUCUGUUGUAAGAGAAGAACGAGUGUGAGAGUGGAAAGUUCACACUGUGACGGUAUCUUACCAGAAAGGGACGGCUAACUACGUG
rnacentral:rRNA from 1 species